GAUGAACGCUGGCGGCGUGCCUAAUACAUGCAAGUCGAGCGAACGGACGAGAAGCUUGCUUCUCUGAUGUUAGCGGCGGACGGGUGAGUAACACGUGGAUAACCUACCUAUAAGACUGGGAUAACUUCGGGAAACCGGAGCUAAUACCGGAUAAUAUUUUGAACCGCAUGGUUCAAAAGUGAAAGACGGUCUUGCUGUCACUUAUAGAUGGAUCCGCGCUGCAUUAGCUAGUCGGUAAGGUAACGGCUUACCAAGGCAACGAUGCAUAGCCGACCUGAGAGGGUGAUCGGCCACACUGGAACUGAGACACGGUCCAGACUCCUACGGGAGGCAGCAGUAGGGAAUCUUCCGCAAUGGGCGAAAGCCUGACGGAGCAACGCCGCGUGAGUGAUGAAGGUCUUCGGAUCGUAAAACUCUGCUAUUAGGGAAGAACAUAUGUGUAAGUAACUGUGCACAUCUUGACGGUACCUAAUCAGAAAGCCACGGCUAACUACGUG
rnacentral:rRNA from 1 species